UACGGGGGGAGCAAGCGUUGUUCGGAUUUACUGGGCGUAAAGGGCGCGUAGGCGGUCAGCACAAGUCAGUUGUGAAAUCUCCGGGCUUAACCCGGAAAGGUCAACUGAUACUGUGCGACUAGAGUGCGGAAGGGGCAACUGGAAUUCUCGGUGUAGCGGUGAAAUGCGUAGAGAUCAGCAGGAACACCCGUGGCGAAGGCGGCCCCCUGGGCCGGUGACCUGACGCUGAGGCGCGAAGGCUAGGGGAGCGAACGGG
rnacentral:rRNA from 1 species